AAAAAAAUUACAAAAUGUGAAUGAAAAGGUGUUAAUUUUGUGGGUGAUUUUUUUCUCUGUAAUUUCCCAUUUAUUUAAUGUGGUAACAUUACUUCUUUAUUGGAAAAAUUAAUUUAUAAUAAAAUGGGAAGAGGAAUCCACUUUUGAAAUUUAUCAAAUCUAGCUAAGUGACUUAUAUUUUAAAAAUUGAGUUAAACGAGGUUUGUAGUAUUAUGAAACUAGCAAGGACAAUAACAAAAUUGUCUUACUCUUUAUUGAAAACUAUUUUUUUUUAACAUGGGCACAUCCUUAAACUUGAUCUUCUGUGAGAACGUGUGUGUUCCAGCAAGAAAGAAGGAGGAAGUGGAAGUGAAGCUUUCUUUACGAGAACCACAAACAGUGCUGCAGCAUUCUCUUGAUCCUCCUUUUCUUUCAUGUGAAGUCCAAAAAUGUAUCAAAGGAGGCUUCUGAAUUCAAUUCAGAAAAUAGACAGGGAUUCAGAUGUCAAGAACAGCGGCCCAGCAUACUCCAGCACUUUUGCUGCUCAAAUCCCUCUUCUUCAAAACUGUGUCCACCAUCAAUACUGGCAGUUGUAUAACCCACAAAUUUUCAAGGUAUUCAGAAGAGUUGCCUUUGGUUUAAAAAGUGUGUAGUGGUGAAGAAAUUGAUGGCUGCUGACGUGGUUUGGGGCCAUGACUUUGAU
rnacentral:lncRNA from 1 species